rnacentral:rRNA from 1 species
UACAGAGGUCUCAAGCGUUGUUCGGAUUCAUUGGGCGUAAAGGGUGCGUAGGUGGUGCCGUAAGUCAGGUGUGAAAUCUCGGGGCUCAACCCCGAAACUGCACUUGAUACUGCGGUGCUUGAGGACUGGAGAGGAGAUCGGAAUUCCUGGUGUAGCGGUGGAAUGCGCAGAUAUCAGGAGGAACACCGAUGGCGAAGGCAGCUCGCUGGGACGGUACUGACGCUGAGGCGCGAAAGCGUGGGGAGCGAACAGG